UGGGGAAUAUUGGGCAAUGGGCGCAAGCCUGACCCAGCAACGCCGCGUGAAGGAAGAAGGCUUUCGGGUUGUAAACUUCUUUUCUCAGGGACGAAGAAAGUGACGGUACCUGAGGAAUAAGCCACGGCUAACUACGUGCCAGCAGCCGCGGUAAUACGUAGGUGGCAAGCGUUAUCCGGAUUUACUGGGUGUAAAGGGCGUGUAGGCGGGAGUGCAAGUCAGAUGUGAAAACCAUGGGCUCAACCUGUGGCCUGCAUUUGAAACUGUACUUCUUGAGUACUGGAGAGGCAGACGGAAUUCCUAGUGUAGCGGUGAAAUGCGUAGAUAUUAGGAGGAACACCAGUGGCGAAGGCGGUCUGCUGGACAGCAACUGACGCUGAGGCGCGAAAGCGUGGGGAGCAAACAGG
rnacentral:rRNA from 1 species